rnacentral:rRNA from 1 species
AGACCUGUAUGAACGGCCCCAUGAGGGCCUAACUGUCUCCCUUGGCCACUCAAUGAACCUGAUCUCCCAGUACAAAAGCUGGGAUAAACCCACAAGACGAGAAGACCCCGUGGAGCUUAAGACCCACCACUAUCAAACUCAUAGUGCCUAUCUUCAGUUGGGGCGACUGCGGAAAAAACAAAACCUCCACGCACACCACAACGGUCAACACACCACCGUAUCAAGCACAUGACCCAGUAAAACUGAUUAACGAACCAAGUUACCCCGGGGAUAACAGCGCCAUCCUCUUUUAGAGCCCCUAUCGCCGAGAGGGUUUACGACCUCGAUGUUGGAUCAGGACCCCCAGGUGGUGCAGCCGCUACCAAUGGUUCGUUUGUUCAACGAUUAA